rnacentral:lncRNA from 1 species
AAAAAAAAUUGAGAAGGUAACUACGGACUUCAUUGGUCUAUUGUUAAUACAUAAUGAGACGAUACAGUGAAAGAACUCUCCAAAUGACAAAGCACUAUCUCCAUCUAAGAAUAUCGCUUCUGUUGCAUCAUAGUGAAGUAGUUCCACAGGUGUUUCUGCUCGGACUGACUGGUUCAAAUCUCGGCUGUACUGCCAGGAUUUAAGACACUUUGAAAAUGGGCAAAGCCUCAUUUUUCCUAGGUCAAAAGGAGUUCAAGAUUGGGGAAAUCUGAGGAUUCAGAAGGAUGAUAAAUAUGUCACCAGCACUAACACCUGUCCUAGUUCCAGCUCUGGUGAACUCCAGCAGACCUGCUCAAGUGGACAGCAUUAGGGACCUUGUCAGUUUUGCAGUGCUUUUUGCCUGAAGCCACCUCAGGUCCCUCAUGCUGCAGGUAUGCUGAGGGGCCUGGAGGUGACAGGCUGUUUUGCACCCAGGCACACUGAGGCCCGGGUGCUGCAGGGCUGUAAGGGUGGCCGUACUUUACUCUCUCCCAACUCCCCCACCCGUGUCAUUUUUAUUUGUACUUUAUAAAUCCUUUUCACUUUUGCAAGUUCCUUUUGGCCGCAAUCUGAAUGCAGUCCUGUAUGGGAUAAAGGAAUAUCAUAAGUAUAUAUUUUUUAAAACAGCAACACGAUUCAUGACUCUGUUGCAGAAUGUGAAGGAGCAAGUCUCUCAAUUGGCUAAUUGAAUCAAGCUCUGCAAUUUCCUUCUUCCCUGGAGCCUGAUCCUGCAGGACAAGGAUCUAUUUUCAAGUCAAUUACAAUUCCUAAGGGAUAUAAUUACCUACAAAAUCAGCAAAGGAACCCUAUUUCUCUUAUGGUGCAGAGCAAAACCAGUGUGGCUGGAAAGGAGAAAGAAGGAAAGGGGGCUUCAAGCAAGAUCAUGUGCAUUGUCAGACUUCAGAUCAUCCAAGGCCUUGUAAGAUUAGGGGACUUUUUUUUUUUUUUGCAUAAGUCAUAAAGAAAUCACUGUGGGGGAAUCAAACACUAAACAGGUAUGCAAGAUAAUUUCAGAUAAAGUAUAUGAAACAAAAAUGGGAUAGAGCAAGUUUAGAGGAGAUAAUGAUGAGGAAUGUCCUCUCUGAGGAGGUGACAUUUGAACGGAGACCUGAAUGGGACAAAAGGGCUAGUGGAGAAGAGAUCUGAAGAAAGAGCAUUUCAAGCAUUAGAGUAAAUAGGGCAAAAAUCAGGAAGCAGGACUGUGCUGUUUGUUUAAUACACAGAAAGAAAGAAAUGGUUAACUGGAAUUUGGACUCGGGACUUGAGUUCAAAUUCAAAGUUAUUUAUGCUGCCCCCAAAUGCGACUACCUAACUGAGCCUGCUGUUUGCUAAGGAUUAGGGGCUUUCUCUGUUUCACUAGAUGGUAAGUACCUGAGCAUAGGGACCAUGUCUUCCCACUUAUUUCUGCAAACUUAGUAUCUGGGCCCUGUCUAGUACCUGUUAGACUCUCAGUAAAUAUUCAUUGAAUGAAAACAUCUCUACAAUUACAAUACCCUGACUGUAUAUCUACUGUUAAAAUUCUAAGACUAGAAAAAAACAAUUUAAAUGUUGAAAUUCAGUCAGCCAAUUGGUAAUUUAAUAACCCAACUAAAAAAAAAAACCCAGAAGACAAAAUAGUCAAACCAUUUCUAAGAGUAGCUGCAGACUAAAUAACAAGAAAAGAAAAAAAUUAUCUAAAGCAACGCUUCUCAACGUCAGUGCUAUUAGCAUUUGGGGCUGAAUAAUUCUUGGUCAUGGGAGCUGUCCUGAGCAUUAUUUAGUGGCAUCGUUAGUCGCUACUCAAUAGUUACUGGUAGCAUUCCCCUCUUGCGACAACCCAAAAUGUCUGCAGACAUUGCCAGAUGGCCCUAUUGAGAACACUGGUAUGAAAGUAUUAAUGCCAUGCCACUUUCUAAAAUGUUGCAGAAGUUGUUGUGCCACCCAGUGGGUUUUCAGUUGAUUUGUGUGCAAAGUUUUACCAAGAGGUAUGAUAAAUAUGUCC